GCCGCCGGAGUUAACUGUUCCAUAGUAAAGGUGGCAGCGGCCGCCAGCCAAUCACGGCUCGCGGACCGGCUGCAGCACCAAUCAGAAGAAGAUGAGGCUUUUUUUUAAAUCUGGCGUGAGCCAAUCACGGCUCGCAGACCGCCAGCCAAUGAGAAGCUGCCAAGUGGCAGCUUCUCAUUAGCUGGCGGUCCAGGAGCCGUGAAUGACGCACAGCCGGCGCCAGGUUCAAAGUGCCGUCUCUCCCCCCCUCCGCCGCUGCCACAGCCGCCAGAGUGUGACUGAGCCGCGGGUUGUAACGCCCGAUCCCACCCCCCCACCCCCCGCAGCCGCCGGAGUUAACUGUUAACUGACGCUGAGCAGCGGCCAGUAAUGCCCAUGCCCACUCCCCAUCUCCCUGCCAGCGCAGCAGCUUAAAUUCCACCCUACCCCUAAGCUUAGUGACCCGCGGCCUGUAAUGCCCUCCCCACCUCCACCGGAGCACUGUCUGCAAGUGAAUGAUGGUCCGAGGCCCUAUCCUAACCGUGGCACACCCCUGGGCGUCUGGCAGGAGAGUCAACUCGCCCUCCACAUGAAGACCUCCAGCUGAUCGUAGAUGGCAAACUGGAUGCCUUAUCGUAAAAUAUCGUAAGAUGUAACAGUUCACGUCGGGAUGCCGUUAAGAUGCUGACUGUUGGGAUCGCGGCAAUCAGAAUGCCAACAGUCAUCAGAAUACAGACACCGUAAGUAU